AAGUGUUUUAGAUUGUACAUGUUCCAAACUAUUUCAUGUGUGCACUCUAGAACACCUGA
rnacentral:pre_miRNA from 1 species